rnacentral:lncRNA from 1 species
AGCACAUGAUUCCACAAACAUAGUACGCAGCACACAGUAUUCAGCUCAACUGAUAUCUGUUUCCUGUGUCUGACUCACAUCCUCUGAUAAUCAGGUGUUCAAAUCCUGGACAGUUUUUUGACUCUCAAACAGCAUCAGACUAUCCUGUUGAACUUAUCCACUGAUCCCCUCCAGUUCGGCUAUGAGGAAGGUGUGGAGGUGGUGUUCCCUUGGUCUUGCCUGAAUGAAAUAAUGCUAACAACGCCAGUCCUUCAGUCAAGCAAGCAGUUGAUGACAUAAGUCGAGGUGAAACUGUCAUCUGUCGCCUCUUCAUGACUCAUUCCAUGGUUUUUCAUCACAAGUGGUUCAUGAAAUACUACCUGAGUGUCGUGUCCAGCCCACAGACAUCACACGUAGGGAUAUUCGAUCGAGAAUAGGCCUGUUAUUUAAAGAUAAACACAAUACGCCGAAAUAAGAUGGUUCACCUUCAACGCCAAUAAAUCGUCCAUUCCUUUAUUUACACCCAAAAGCAACCUUUUCUCUUCCUUCCUCUUUCUCUAACAGCACUACACAGACACCGUCAUAAGCGAAUCUCACUUCAUUUUAGCUUAAAAUGCCAUUGAAUUGCAACAAAACAUCAAACCUUUCCUGUGAUCACGGAUGUAAACUCAAACUGAUUAAUUCAUUCGUUUAUAGGAAAGAAAAAAAAAGAGCAUCGGAAGCUUACGGUCUUCUUGAUCCAAUCUUUUGUAUAUUUGAAUAAUUUACUAGUAACUCGGCUUUUUAUUUACUAAGUAUAUAGCGAAGGAUAUUUGUUAUAUAUUUUUCACUUUACCUUUUGUGCUGUGUGAUAUUUAUGGUGUAGUUAUGUUUAUUUUUGUAGUGUGCGAAUUCCUUAUUCCGAUUAAUCAGACGUUUUGAUCCUUUCAAGCUGCUUUUCCCAAGGCGUUUAUUAGCUUUUACGGCUUUCCAAUAGUUUGAAAAUAGAUAAAUAAAUAUGAUAUACUCCA